rnacentral:rRNA from 1 species
UACGUAGGGUGCGAGCGUUAAUCGGAAUUACUGGGCGUAAAGCGUGCGCAGGCGGUUUUGUAAGCCGGGUGUGAAAUCCCCGGGCUCAACCUGGGAAUGGCAUUUGGGACUGCAAGGCUGGAGUGCGGCAGAGGAGACUGGAAUUCCUGGUGUAGCAGUGAAAUGCGUAGAUAUCAGGAGGAAUACCGAUGGCGAAGGCAGGUCUCUGGGCUGACACUGACGCUCAUGCACGAAAGCGUGGGGAGCAAACAGG